CAAUAGCGUAUAUUAAAGUUGUUGCAGUUAGAACGCUCGUAGUCGGAUUUCGGGGCGGGCCGACCGGUCUGCCGAUGGGUACGCACUGGUCGGCGCGUCCUUCCUUCCGGAGACCGUUCCUACUCUUAACUGAGCGGGGGCGGGAGACGGAUCGUUUACUUUGAAAAAAUCAGAGUGUUUCAAGCAGGCAGCUCGCUCUUGCAUGGAUUAGCAUGGGAUAAUGAAAUAGGACUUUGGUGCUAUUUUGUUGGUUUCGAACACCGAAGUAAUGAUUAAAAGGGACAGUCAGGGGCACUCGCAUUCCGCCGAGAGAGGUGAAAUUCUCAGACCAGCGGAAGACGAACGACUGCGAAAGCAUUUGCCAGGGAUGUUUUCACUGA
rnacentral:rRNA from 1 species